AGGGGCGAGCGAACCAAUCGUCCGCACCCGGGCCGGAGAAGAGCGGCGCGCCCGAGGGGCAGGGUCCCGAGAAGAGGCGGGAGAGCGAGGAGAGCGACCGCGAACCCCCCACCAGCCAGUGCCCACCAGCAGCUCGGCGGGCCAGCUCCUCACGCUCGCCAGAGGGGAGCCGCUAGGGGGGCGGCGGAAGCGCUCACGCCGCCCGCUCCUUCCGCCGCCGCCGCCGCUGCCCGAACCGGGGGGCGCCCGCGGGAGAAGGAGGCGAAGUAGUCCCUGGUGAUUUCUCCGGGACGCCGCCUUCCCGGAGGGCCAGAGCGGGUGUGGAAACCGAAAACUGAAAAAAGAAAGGAAAUGCUAUGAUGUGGCCAUUUUCUCUGCUACAGAAGGCGCGGAGGAUGACUGACCCUCCGGGCAAGGGUCUCUCUUACGGACUCUUCUCUUCUUGCCUCCCACAUCAGCUACUCCCGCCCAGCUCUCCUCCUGAGGAGCGAGGUCCCUAAGAACCACACAGGCUUAUUUCAAGUGAAAAAGACCACCUGUUGAUGUGGAGUGUACCUGAUGGGAAUUCCCGACACCUGAUUUUUACUCUAUCAAUCCUUGAC